rnacentral:tRNA from 1 species
CCUGAUGGCUCAGUGGUAAAGAACCUGCCUGCAAUGCAGGAGACACGGGUUCAAUCCCUGAGUCAGGA